UACGUAGGGUGCAAGCGUUAAUCGGAAUUACUGGGCGUAAAGCGUGCGCAGGCGGUGAUGUAAGACAGAUGUGAAAUCCCCGGGCUCAACCUGGGAACUGCAUUUGUGACUGCAUCGCUGGAGUGCGGCAGAGGGGGAUGGAAUUCCGCGUGUAGCAGUGAAAUGCGUAGAUAUGCGGAGGAACACCGAUGGCGAAGGCAAUCCCCUGGGCCUGCACUGACGCUCGUGCACGAAAGCGUGGGGAGCAAGCAGG
rnacentral:rRNA from 1 species